CUGAGUUCGGGGGCAAUCCCAGUCCCGACCUCCAACCCUUUGUGAACAUAUCUUGUUGCUUCGGGGGCGACCCUGCCGUUCGCGGUAUUCCCCCCGGAGGUCAUCAAGACACUGCAUUAUUACGUCGGAGUAAAAAGUUAAUUUAAUA
rnacentral:misc_RNA from 1 species